rnacentral:rRNA from 1 species
UACGUAGGGGGCAAGCGUUGUCCGGAAUUAUUGGGCGUAAAGAGCGUGUAGGCGGCCAGAUAAGUCCGCUGUGAAAUCUCGAGGCUCAACUUCGAGCUGUCGGUGGAAACUAUCUGGCUAGAGUCCGGAAGAGGAGAAUGGAAUUCCUGGUGUAGCGGUGAAAUGCGCAGAUAUCAGGAAGAACACCCGUGGCGAAGGCGGUUCUCUGGGACGGUACUGACACUGAGGAGCGAAAGCGUGGGGAGCGAACAGG